GACGAACGCUGGCGGUGUGCUUAACACAUGCAAGUCGAACGGUAAGGCCCUUUCGGGGGUACACGAGUGGCGAACGGGUGAGUAACACGUGAGUAACCUGCCCUCCUCUCUGGGAUAACAGUCGGAAACGGUUGCUAAUACUGGAUAUGAGCUUGCAAGGCAUCUUGUGGGUUGGAAAGAUUUUUUUGGUUGGGGAUGGACUCGCGGCCUAUCAGCUUGUUGGUGAGGUAGUGGCUCACCAAGGCUUCGACGGGUAGCCGGCCUGAGAGGGCGACCGGCCACAUUGGGACUGAGAUACGGCCCAAACUCCUACGGGAGGCAGCAGUGGGGAAUAUUGCACAAUGGACGGAAGUCUGAUGCAGCAACGCCGCGUGCGGGAUGACGGCCUUCGGGUUGUAAACCGCUUUCAAUUGUGACGAAGCUUUUUGUGACGGUAGCAGUAGAAGAAGCACCGGCUAACUACGUG
rnacentral:rRNA from 1 species